GGCAAAAUCAGCUAAAAUAAGCUAGCGGGCUCAUUCCCCGAAAAUGGCGGGCUAAAUUCCCCCUUUUGCUA
rnacentral:tRNA from 2 species